AUUGGGAUUUGGGGUGGUUGGGGUGUGGGGUCCAUGGGUUGUGGGGUCAUCAUUGGGGUGUGGGGUCAUUGGGCCACCUGGGGACACAUUGCGGCCAUUUGGGGCCAUUUGGGGCCACUGGGGCCAUUUGGGGUCACCAUUUGGAGCCACCAUUUAGGGUCCCCUUUUGGGGUCAUGGGGUCACCAUUUGGGGUCCCCUUUUAGGGGUACCAGGGUCACCAUGUGGGGCCCACUUGGGGUCCCCAUUUGGGGUCCCCGUUUGAGGUCAUUGGGGUCCCUAUUUGGGAUCCCCGUUUGGGGUCCCUGUUUGGGGUCCCCGUUUGGGGCCAUUGGGGUCCCCGUUUGGGGUCUUUGGGGUCCCUCUUUGGGGUCCCUCUUUGGGGUCCCCUUUUGGGGUCAUUGGGGUCCCUCUUUGGGGUCCCUCUUUGGGGUCCCCGUUUGGGGUCUUUGGGAUCCCCAUUUAGGGUCCCCGUUUGGGGUCUUUGGGGUCCCCUUUUGGGGUCAUUGGGGUCCCUCUUUGGGGUCCCCUUUUGGGGUCAUUGGGGUCUGUCUUUGGGGUCCCUCUUUGGGGUCCCCUUUUGGGGUCAUUGGGGUCCCUAUUUGGGGUCCCUCUUUGGGGUCCCCUUUUGGGGUCUUUGGGAUCCCCAUUUAGGGUCCCCUUUUGGGGUCAUUGGGGUCCCUAUUUGGGGUCCAUCUUUGGUGUCCCCUUUUGGGGUCUUUGGGGCCCCCGUUUGGGGUCAUUGGGGUGUGUCUUUGGGGUCCCUCUUUGGGGCCCCCUUUUGGGGUCAUUGGGGUCCGUAUUUGGGGUCCCUGUUUGGGGUCCCCUUUUGGGGUCAUUGGGGUCCCUAUUUGGGGUCCCUCUUUGGGGUCCCUCUUUGGGGUCUUUGGGGUCCCCGUUUGGGGUCAUUGGGGUCCGUCUUUGGGGUCCCUCUUUGGGGUCCCUGUUUGGGGUCAUUGGGGUCCCUAUUUGGGGUCCCUCUUUGGUGUCCCCUGUUGGGGUGUUUGGGAUCCCCGUUUGGGUCACUAUUUGGGGUGCCCGUUUGGGGUCUUUGGGGUCCGUAUUUGGGGUCCCAGUUUGGGGUCCCCUUUUGGGGUCUUUGGGGUUCCUGUUUGGGGUCUCCAUUUAGGGUCCCUCUUUGGCGUCCCCUUUUGGGGUCAUUGGGGUCCCUGUUUGGGGUCCCUGUUUGGGGUCCCUGUUUGGGGUCUUUGGGGUCCCCAUUUGGGGUCAUUGGGGUCCCUAUUUGGGGUCCAUCUUUGGUGUCCCCUUUUGGGGUCUUUGGGGUCCCUCUUUGCUGUCCCUCUUUGGGGUCCCCAUUUGGGGUCAUUGGGGUCCUAAUUUGGGGUCCCAGUUUGGGGUCCCCUUUUGGGGUCUUUGGGGUCCUAAUUUGGGGUCCCAGUUUGGGGUCCCCUUUUGGGGUCUUUGGGGUCCCCUUUUGGGGUCAUUGGGGUCCGUAUUUGGGGUCCCAGUUUGGGGCCCCCUUUUGGGGUCCUUGGCGUCCGUAUUUGGGGGCCCAGUCUGGGGUCCCUCUUUGGGGUCCCCUUUUGGGGUUAUUGGGGUCCCAGUUUGGGGUCCCCUUUUGGGGUCCUUGGGGUCCGUAUUUGGGGUCCCAGUUUGGGGUCCCUCUUUGGGGUCCCCUUUUGGGGUUAUUGGGGUCCCUGUUUGGGGUCCCCUUUUGGGGUCCCUCUUUGGGGUCCCUCUUUGGGGUCUUUGGGAUU
rnacentral:lncRNA from 1 species